CGCAAUGGGCGAAAGCCUGACGGAGCAACGCCGCGUGAGGGACGAAGGCCUCUGGGCUGUAAACCUCUUUUCUCAAGGAAGAAGAUAUGACGGUACUUGAGGAAUAAGCCACGGCUAAUUCCGUGCCAGCAGCCGCGGUAAUACGGGAGUGGCAAGCGUUAUCCGGAAUUAUUGGGCGUAAAGCGUCCGCAGGCGGCUUUUCAAGUCUGCUGUUAAAGCGUGGAGCUUAACUCCAUUAUGGCAGUGGAAACUGAUUGGCUUGAGUAUGGUAGGGGCAGAGGGAAUUCCCGGUGUAGCGGUGAAAUGCGUAGAUAUCGGGAAGAACACCAGUGGCGAAGGCGCUCUGCUGGGCCAUUACUGACGCUCAUGGACGAAAGCCAGGGGAGCGAAAGGGAUUAGAUACCCCUGUAGUCCUGGCCGU
rnacentral:rRNA from 1 species